AUUGAACGCUGGCGGCAUGCCUUACACAUGCAAGUCGAACGGUAACGCGGGGCAACCUGGCGACGAGUGGCGAACGGGUGAGUAAUAUAUCGGAACGUGCCCAGUAGUGGGGGAUAGCCCGGCGAAAGCCGGAUUAAUACCGCAUACGACCUACGGGUGAAAGGCGGGGGAUCGCAAGACCUCGCGCUAUUGGAGCGGCCGAUAUCAGAUUAGGUAGUUGGUGGGGUAAAGCCUACCAAGCCUACGAUCUGUAGCUGGUCUGAGAGGACGACCAGCCACACUGGGACUGAGACACGGCCCAGACUCCUACGGGAGGCAGCAGUGGGAAUUUUGGACAAUGGGCGCAAGCCUGAUCCAGCCAUGCCGCGUGCGGGAAGAAGGCCU
rnacentral:rRNA from 1 species